GACAGAGGUGCCAAGCGUUAGGCGGAAUCACUGGGCUUAAAGCGUGUGUAGGCGGAUGUCUAAGUACCUUGUGAAAUCCCACGGCUCAACCGUGGAACUGCUUGGUAUACUGGAUGUCUUGAGCCAUCUAGGGGCUACCGGAACAAAUGGUGGAGCGGUGAAAUGCGUAGAUAUCAUUUGGAACGCCAAUGGUGAAAACAGGUAGCUGGGGAUGAUGCUGACGCUGAGACACGGAAAGCCAGGGGAGCGAACGGG
rnacentral:rRNA from 1 species